AUAUAAAUAUAUAAAAUAAUUAGAAAUAUAAAUGAUACUAAAAUAAAAUUUAUACAUAUAUUUAUGUAAGUAUAUAAAGAGACUAUUACGAAAUGUUAGCUAUGUAUUAAAGAGAUAUAUAUUUAACUCAAAAGUGUAGAUAAUAAACUCUAAGAUAAAUCAGAUAAUAAACGAAGUGAAUUGAAUUAUCUUAUUAACUUCAGGAAAAGAAAUCAAAAGAGAUUCUAUGAUUAGCGUGAGCAAAAAUAGAAAAGUCUAAAUAAUAAGUAAAAUGGAAUAAAACUGUUUGAAAAUUUUUAUGGGGAACCUUCCUCAAAGACUAAAUAUAAUACAUAAGCGAUAGUGAAUGAGUACCGUGAGGGAAGAUAUAGUUGAAAUAGUAGUCUUAUAAGCAGCUCGAGUGAAAAUAAGAGCGUACCUUUUGCAUAAUGGGUCACCAAGUUAAUUUUAGAUGUGAGCUAAUAAAAUGCGUAGUUAAACCGAUCAUCUAAAAAAUGAAAAAUAUCUAAAAUUAGACCCGAAUUACAGUGAUCUUACCAUGAUCAGGAUUUUAGGUCCGAACGGGUUAUCGUUGCAAAGAUAUCCGAUGAAUUAUGGUAAGUAUAGUGAAAGACAAUUCUGACUGUAUUAGCUGGUUUUCUGCGAAACCUAUAAUAGUAGGCAAUUUAAUUAACAUCUUAGCAGGUACAGAACUUAAUCUUAGACAAAAUGAAAAAAGUAAAAUUUUUUCAUCAUAUUUUGUAUAUAUCGGGGAAUCAUAUAGAUUUUACCGGUGAGUUUGUGAACUCGGAAUGGUAAAGAUGAAUAUUAAAUUAUCAGACAUAGAAUGAUAAGGUUGUAUGUCAAAAGGGAAACAGCCCAGAACAAGAGUUAAGGUUCCAAAAUUAUUAUUAAGUGAAAUUAAGGAAGUUAAGAUAAAAAUCGACAAGGAGAUUGGCUUAGAAGCAGCCAUAAUUUAAAGACCUCGUAUCAGAGCACUUGUUAAUAUUAAAGCAUCGAAAAUAUAACGGAUCUAAAUAAUAUACCGAAACCUUGUCAAUUAUUAAAAAUAAUUAUUUUUAUUAAUUGGGUAGCAGAACGUUGAGUAAAUAUUAGUAUAAAAAAAUGAUAUUAUAACUCAAGUGAGAAUGGUGACAUGAGUAACGAUAAAGAAAGUUAAUAUAAAUGAAAAUUUUAUUAACAUUCUCGCCUAAAGCUUAUGGUGAUGAUAAGUAACGGCCUCUAAGUUUUUUACCUUAAGGUUAAAAUGAUGAGAAAAACUUUUUACUAAUAAUAAUUAUAUUUUUUUUAAGUGAAAAAUAUACAGGAAACAAUAGUAUAAAAUAACCGUUCCUAGGAACUAGAAAAAGUAAGCUAGUAGAAUAUACGAAGGCGCAUGAGAUAACAAUCUUAAAGGAACUCGGCAAAAUGACUACCGUAACUUAGGGAUAAGGAGGGCUCAUUUAAAUUGAUUAAUAUCAAGUAUAAAAGAAGAGACAUAAAAUAGUGUUGUACGACUGUUUAAUUAAAACAAAGCACUUUGCAAAAGAUGAUAAAUCAAUGUAUUAAGUGUGAUAUCUGCCCAAUGCCGUCAGCUUAAUUAUAGAUAUUAAUAAUAGAAAAUUGGUAUCCAUAAAAAUCCCCGGUGAAUGGCGGUCUUAUUUUGAGGAUCCUAAGGUAGCGAAAUGCCUUGGCCGUUAAAUGCGGUCUUGCAUGAAUGAUAUAACGAUACAACAGCUGUCUCUAAGAUUGACUCAGUGAAAUUGGAAUAACUGUGCAGAUACAGUUUACCUCUAGGUAGACGAGAAGACCCUAUGCAGCUUUACUGUUACUAAUUAUGAGGUAUAAUUCUAACAUUUUUUAGUUUAGAAUUGGUAUCCAUAAAAAUCCCCGGUGAAUGGCGGUCUUAUUUUGAGGAUCCUAAGGUAGCGAAAUGCCUUGGCCGUUAAAUGCGGUCUUGCAUGAAUGAUAUAACGAUACAACAGCUGUCUCUAAGAUUGACUCAGUGAAAUUGGAAUAACUGUGCAGAUACAGUUUACCUCUAGGUAGACGAGAAGACCCUAUGCAGCUUUACUGUUACUAAUUAUGAGGUAUAAUUCUAACAUUUUUUAGUUUAGAAGGUUUAUUGAUUACAAUUUGUAAAUAAUAUAAAAGUGAAAGACCUUUAUUUGUGUGUUAUACUAUCUACUUAAAUGUGAACAGUGAUUAGAAGACAGUUUAUGUGGGGCACAGACCCCUUAAAGAGUAAAAGGGUGUAUCUAAAAAAAAUAACUUUAUAAGUUUAUUUUGUUUUUUAUUGUUUGUAAUUAAUUUAACUUUGUUAUAUUUAAUCUUGUAUUUGUAUUAGUUACAUAUUAUAACAGGUAAGAUUUUAACCUAUUGAGAAAUUAGUUGUAUUAAAAGAUAUUAAUAAAUAAUAUCUUUAAUAGUUAUUAUAAUUUAUAAUUAUUAAUAAUCAUGUUAAAUACUUAUCAAGCUAAAUGGCUAAAUCUUGCCUUACUGUUUGAUUCACAACAAAUCUUACAGUCGCGUAAGCGGGGCAUUAGAUCACAAGAUGCAUUAAGGAAAGAUCUUGGAUUAUUGGAAAAGCUACGCUAGGGAUAACAGGCUAAUUUGCGCAAGAGUGCCCUAAAUGAGUGCGCGGUUUGGCACCUCGAUGUCGGCUUAACUUAUCCUCAUGGACGCAGAAGCUAUGUAGGGUACGACUGUUCGUCGGUUAAAAAGUUACAUGAGCUGGGUUAAAUACGUCGUGAGACAGUAUGGUUUCUAUCUUCUAGAGGAAAUUAGAAUAUAAUAAGGAUUAACCUUGUACGAAAGGAACGUGGAGAACACCUUAUAUCCGAAAGGAAUAGCGGUUUUAUUAACCUCUGGUUUAUCUGUUGUUUAUCUGUCCAGAUAUUAAUUUAGGUAUAAUUUUAAUUAUACAGGGAUGUUGCUUUCACUUAGGUAAAUACAUAAGAUAGGCAUGGCAGAAAAGCUAAGUUAGUCAGAGAUAAAUACUGAAGGCAUAUAAGUAUGAAGCUUACCUUAAGAUAUUUCUUAAUACGUAAAAUAAUAUUACGUGAUAGGCUUAAUUUGUAAUAAUCAAGAGAUUUUAGAUAUUAAGUACUAAUUAAACAUAACUAAAUUUUUUUUUUGUAUCU
rnacentral:rRNA from 1 species